rnacentral:lncRNA from 1 species
UACCCCGGUCCCCCAGAAGGACUCUUGUACUAUAAGGUUAUUAUUGUUCAUGGAUUCUCAAUACAAAAGCAAAAGAAAGAUUAGACAGUUAAUCAAACAUGGCUCGAAUACCAAAAUUUGAUUUGAAUAUUUCAGCUGAGUUUUGAAGAAAUUUCGGACAAUAAUCAAGAACUUUUGGUGAAUGAAAUCAAUUUGAAUUGAAGAAAAAACUCUUCGUAAUCCAUCUGGAAAAGGAGAGGAAAAGAGAUUAAUGAGGAGCAACGUAGUAAUCCCUCAAAAAAUGAUAAACCUUAAAUAAGAGAGGAAAUAGAAUAGAGUAAGUUGUGUUUUUAUGGGAAUAAAUUUUGAAGUGGGGAGGAAUUAGGGGUAUUAUAGGAAGGAGAGGAAAUAGAAUAGAGUAUGGAGUGUUUUUAUGGGAAUAAAUUUCGAAGCGGAGAAGAAUUAGAAGUAUUAUAAGAAGGUUGAUAAUUUUUUGUUCUAGAUAUUAGAGAAAUUUGGAAUGAAAAAUAGUUCCUAAAAGGACUAAUAAAAGAGAAUGUGUUUGUAUGAAAAAUUGUACAUUUCUGUGGUACAAAAUGUUUGCGCUGGAAAAUAACAUGCACAAGCCAAAUUUUAACAAUUCCCAAUGGUCUUCUCGACUUUCUGGAUCUUUGCUGCUUUAAGCAAACAAUUAUAAGGAUCAACCGCAAACCAUUAUUAAAGGGAUGGUAAGACGGACCACAAAUUUUCUCAGAAAACAUUAAAGGUUGAUAAUUUUAUUUAUGGUUUUGCAUAGGAUAAGUCACGCGGUAAACUUGGUACAAAUGAAACCAAUGAUGUCCAACCAAAUUACAAAAUACAUCAUAGAAGCAUGACACAAAAGCCUCCGUGUCUAUUGAUAUUGAAGACUCAUUUCUUCCCGCUUUUCUUUAGCCCAGAACCUCCAAAAACACCCUUCUGUUGAGCUUUGGCUUUGAGAUCCUUGAGUGACUGCAUACCAUGGGACAGCCAUAUUCACUCAUAUACCAAGAAACAGAUCUAAAUGAAAUAGUACACGAUAAGAACAGAGCACAAUCUAACCUUUUCCUCUUCCUUCUUCUUCUGGAGUUUAGCCAAAUCAUCCUACACGGGCAGAUAUAGUUUUAUUAUAGGAAUGACAAAAACAUAAAACCAUGUAGAUGCAACUUGUAAGCAGCAUCUAAUAUAUAAAAAUUCUUCCGGGUCACUUUGCAACAGAACAGCGUUCAGACUAAUAGGUGAGUACCAUGUGGACAAAUUAACCUUUACGGUGGGGAUAAUUUGGAACUGAAGUUAUUUUCAGGAAAAAUGGUCCUUGAAGUCAUUUCUACUAUUGAUUGUCCCAACUUCAUAAUCAUUUGAUAACUAUACCCUUUUUACAUUCUAAUGUUCCCACCCUUCAUUUUAAAUUAAAUCUGCUUCCUAACCCUUAACAUCGCGACAUUGCCAAGCCCAUCAAUCUAUACCAAAUUAGGAAAUAUGUUACUCAGCAGUAUAACAAUAUACUCCCUUCAUUCUGAAAUAUAAGGCCAGACUGACUUUUUUAAAGUCAAAUAGACAAACUUUCAAAUUCAAAAUUAAUUUUAUACAUCUAACUUUUGUAAUUAGUAAUAAUUUGUAGAUAGUUUGUGAUUUCCAUAAUUGUAAAACCUAAAACUAAAUGAUUUCAUAUCAAUUUUGAAUUAGAAAAUAUCUCAAAAUAAACCUCAAAAAGUCAAACUAGGUCAUAUAUUUUGGAACGGAAGGAGUACCACACGAAAGGUAAAACUGA